GGCAGACAGGGUAGACAGUCUGAAGGUGGCCUUAUUAAAAAAGGUUCUUUGAGGUUUGUGGCUGUGCAUGAGGUGGUGGGAAGGAGAGCAAGGGACAGGAACCCUAUGGAACAGGAUGCACACGUGGCUCCAGGCUUUUUGGGAGAUGCGGUUUCAGCUAUGAGCCGAGCCAUUAGACACUCCAGCACUGCCCUGUCAGAGCAUGGAAACAGAGCCAGGCCCUGCUCCGAGGAAGCGUACACUCCCUUUUCUUCCCAUGGAGCCCCGGCCAGGCCUGCCCUUACAUGCUUUCCAGAGGACUGCGAGCCCUAGAGGUGGCUUCGCGGUCCCACCAGGCAGGAGCUGUGCCAUGGCCUCUGCCCCACGGCGCCAGGGAGAGCCGGCAAGUCAUGGCCUCGAGAGCCCAGAGCUGGCCGGUCCCCAGCCCCAGAGCAGGUCCUGAUCCCCAGCCCCAGAGCCGGUCCUGAUCCCCAGGCCCAGAGCAGGUCCUGAUCCCCAGCCCCAGAGCCGGUCCUGAUCCCCAGUCCCAGAGCAGGUCCUGAUCCCCAGCCCCAGAGCCGGCCGGUCCCCAGCCCCAGAGCCGGUUCCAGCCCCAGAGCCGGCCGAUCCCCAGCCCCAGAGCCGAUCCCCAGGCCCAGAGCCGGCGAUCCCCAGCCCCAGAGCCGGUCCCAGGCCCAGAGCCGGUCCCGGUCCCCAGCCCCAGAGCCGGCCGAUCCCCAGCCCCAGAGCCGAUCCCCAGGCCCAGAGCCGGCCGAUCCCCAGGCCCAGAGCCGAUCCCCAGGCCCAGAGCCGGCCGAUCCCCAGGCCCAGAGCCGAACCCCAGGCCCAGAGCCGGUCUCAGCCCGAGAGCCGGUCCCGGUCCUGGUCCCCAGCUCCAAGAGCCGAGCUGCGCUUUGGUACAGCAGCAGGAACUUCUCUCGUGACAUUUUCACAGCUCGGGAAGGAACAGGAGGGAUUGAUGACUCUGAGCCCAGGAAAGACAAAGAGAAAGACUGGACAAGCACAUGGGUAAAUGUUCCUAACCCACAUGGGCUCUCAUCUCACUGGGAUCUCUUGAUACCAUCAGUGUGUGAGUCACAGUGCUGAA
rnacentral:lncRNA from 1 species